GCUACCACCCCCAGACAGGUGCAGAAAGGGGGUGUGUUACUUAUGGAUGAUGUCUUUUCUUUUAUUCUUUCUAUCUUGGCAAGUAUAAUCGCCUAUUAUAUUUGCAAAUGGCUGGAUAGAAACUAACUGCUGGUAGCCAGCCUGAGGUCUAAUCCACCUCGCCCAAACGGACAAAAAGCCCCGGAGUUGCCGCUCCGGGGCUUUUGCUGUGCUACU
rnacentral:sRNA from 1 species